rnacentral:rRNA from 1 species
AUUGAACGCUGGCGGCAGGCCUAACACAUGCAAGUCGAGCGGAUGAAGGGAGCUUGCUCCUGGAUUCAGCGGCGGACGGGUGAGUAAUGCCUAGGAAUCUGCCUGGUAGUGGGGGACAACGUUUCGAAAGGAACGCUAAUACCGCAUACGUCCUACGGGAGAAAGCAGGGGGCCUUCGGGCCUGGCGCUAUCAGAUGAGCCUAGGUCGGAUGAGCUCGUUGGUGAGGUAAUGGCUCACCAAGGCGACGAUCCGUAACUGGUCUGAGAGGAUGAUCAGUCACACUGGAACUGAGACACGGUCCAGACUCCUACGGGAGGCAGCAGUGGGGAAUAUUGGACAAUGGGCGAAAGCCUGAUCCAGCCAUGCCGCGUGUGUGAAGAAGGUCUUCGGAUUGUAAAGCACUUUAAGUUGGGAGGAAGGGUUGUAGAUUAAUACUCUGCAAUUUUGACGUUACCGACAGAAUAAGCACCGGCUAACUCUGUGCCAGCCGCCGCAGUAA